UAGGGAAUCUUCCACAAUGGACGCAAGUCUGAUGGAGCAACGCCGCGUGAGUGAAGAAGGGUUUCGGCUCGUAAAGCUCUGUUGUUAAAGAAGAACGUGGGUAAGAGUAACUGUUUACCCAGUGACGGUAUCUAACCAGAAAGCCACGGCUAACUACGUGCCAA
rnacentral:rRNA from 1 species